rnacentral:lncRNA from 1 species
AGUUAAUUAGUGAUAAAAUUACUAAUUAAAUCUCUCAUAAAUAUUGAGUCCAAAUCUGAUAGGCAAUCAGGUAUCAAAGUCCAUCAAUAUGAAACCUUGAUCGAAGAGUCCCAAACUAGUGGGACUCUUGACCCCGGUACCCAAAAUGUGUGGGACUCGUGAUCAGAGAAUCCUGAUUCUUGAUCACAGAGUCCCAGACACAUAGGACUCAUAGUCCAUGAACAUUAGGACUCUUCAUCAGCCAUCAGAUCAGAUAGGAACCUCUAAUGUGUGUGAUCCCGCA